rnacentral:rRNA from 1 species
GAGUUUGAUCGUGGCUCGGAGCGAACGCUGGCGGCAGGCUUAACACAUGCAAGUCGAGCGGGCCCUUCGGGGUCAGCGGCGGACGGGUGAGUAACGUGUGGGAACGUGCCUUCUGGUUCGGAAUAACCCUGGGAAACUAGGGCUAAUACCGGAUACGCCCUUUUGGGGAAAGGUUUACUGCCGGAAGAUCGGCCCGCGUCUGAUUAGCUAGUUGGUGGGGUAAUGGCCUACCAAGGCGACGAUCAGUAGCUGGUCUGAGAGGAUGAUCAGCCACACUGGGACUGAGACACGGCCCAGACUCCUACGGGAGGCAGCAGUGGGGAAUAUUGGACAAUGGGCGCAAGCCUGAUCCAGCCAUGCCGCGUGAGUGAUGAAGGCCUUAGGGUUGUAAAGCUCUUUUAUCCGGGACGAUAAUGACGGUACCGGAGGAAUAAGCCCCGGCUAACUUCGUGCCAGCCGCCGCCGUAAU